GGAAGGGGCAGUGGACAUGCAUCCGACUGGAGAUGAGCCCUGUCAGAUCUAGACAUCUACCCCAUGGAAUCAGAAAGAGGGGGUAUUGUCAUAAGGUCAAUUGAUCAGUUAGGGUGGGUAGGAACAGAUCACAAUGGUGGAAUGUUAUUUUUUGUGGUUCUUCAUUUGCUUCAGGUCCUAAUGGAAUGAAAUGUCCGCUGGGGAUUCCAACCUCUUUUCUCUCUUUGAUUGACAGUGGAAUCUGGCCCCAGGUUUGUGGUGAUGAGGAAUCAGAUAAACUCUAUAGAGAUGGUUUGAGUGGUUGGGGUCAGGAUGACCACUUCUGAUAGCAACUCAAUCAUACCGAAUUCAUUCACAUUAUCUCAUUGGUUCCUCACACCAACCUGUGUGAUGGGCAGUAACUCAGGUGUGAUGAUUAUUCCCAUUUUACAGAUGAGGAAAGUAAGGCUGGCAGAAGUAAUGGGACUUGUUCAAUGUCACACAACCAGAAGGUUGUGAGGUCUGGGCAAAAAUACAGGAGGUCUGACUUAGAUGCUCCACCUUCCCCA
rnacentral:lncRNA from 1 species